CAAGAGACAGACUGAGGAAACGUAUCUGCAACAUACGUAACAAGACACCGAAAACUGGGAACAAGCAGUGCGUCCUUCCGUAGGUGAAUGCUUAACAGACUGGUUGAUCUACACCAAGGACUAUAGCUAGCAAUACAGAGGAAGAACUAGCUAUCCAUGCAGGCGACAACUUGGAUGGCUCACAAGCGCGUUAUGUGAGUGAAAAAAAUAAAAAGCCCAUCCCAGGUUACACACCGCAGAGGUUGCAUUAAUGUAACAGUCUUCGGUGACACAACUGCAGGGACGGGAAUACAAUACUGGUGCCACGGGUUGGCGGGAGGGGGGAGGCUGUUGGGACACUGAUGGCAGAGGGGGUCACGUCAAUCUACACGCGUGACGGAACUGCAGAGCUACUGCGUGCGUGCGCGGGCACGCACACGGAUGAAGCCCGGAACAGGUUCUCGGAUGGCGCCAAUGAAUUCCAUUUCCUGGUGUGCGGUGGCGCUAGAUGUGCAACGGGCCGACACUGGGGGAACUGCGGGAGGGCCCCCGGCCUCCGGGACGUUCCUAUGGAACUUGCUGUGAAUGUAACCACUUCAAGAUACAAGUUCACACGAAAAGCACACAAACAGGGCUCAGCGUGUACACACAGGACGACUCGCGCGACUCUGCGCGGGGAGUCUCCGCCCUCCCUGCGGAGAAGCCUAGCGUCCGGCAGCAAGGAGUAGGUCCGACGCGACAGGACCCAACAGCCGAGAAAGGAGGGGCUCGCACGCGACUGGCUUGUUUUGAUUGGGCAGAGACAUCGGCCGCCGGGUCCCGCGGCCUGAGGGCGGGCCUCGUUACGAACCGAGCUUUCUCAUUGGCUAAGAUAGCCGGAAGGGGUGGGUAGGAAGGCGGUACUCCGCGGCCUGCGGGGCGGAGCUUCCGGUGGGCGCGCUGAGGAGACGUGUGGAGAGGGGCGUGGGGGCAGUCAGGGCGGGGCCCGACACGCCCGGAAGACGCCCCGGCCUCCUCGUCACCGCCCUCCCCGGUCCCGGGACUGCCUUCCGCCCCUCCGAGUCCUGCGCGCCGUCGGAGUCCCGGCUCCGCGAGACCCUCCGUGAACGGAGGCCGGGGAGAAGCCUCCACCAAAUCCAGGCCCCGGGAGGCCGUUGGGGGCCCCGUCAGGCUUCCCUCCCGCCGCUCCCGGCAGGACUCCCCCCGCUCCGCCCACUGUAUGAAGGAGUCUGGCCCUCUAGGCGGCCAGGAGCAGUAUAUUGGGGGCCCCAGGGCCUGAUGAGCCGGGGAAGGAGGCGGCGACCUGGCGGGGAUGGCGAAGAGCAGGGUCACUCCACCUCCGACUGCGCAGACCUGGGCUCUGGGAGCGGCCUU